rnacentral:rRNA from 1 species
GAUGAACGCUGGCGGCGUGCCUAAUACAUGCAAGUCGAGCGAACAGACGAGGAGCUUGCUUCUCUGACGUUAGCGGCGGACGGGUGAGUAACACGUGGAUAACCUACCUAUAAGACUGGGAUAACUUCGGGAAACCGGAGCUAAUACCGGAUAAUAUUUUGAACCGCAUGGUUCAAUAGUGAAAGACGGUUUUGCUGUCACUUAUAGAUGGAUCCGCGCCGCAUUAGCUAGUUGGUAAGGUAACGGCUUACCAAGGCGACGAUGCGUAGCCGACCUGAGAGGGUGAUCGGCCACACUGGAACUGAGACACGGUCCAGACUCCUACGGGAGGCAGCAGUAGGGAAUCUUCCGCAAUGGGCGAAAGCCUGACGGAGCAACGCCGCGUGAGUGAUGAAGGUCCUCGGAUCGUAAAACUCUGUUAUUAGGGAAGAACAAAUGUGUAAGUAACUAUGCACGUCUUGACGGUACCUAAUCAGAAAGCCACGGCUAACUACGUG